rnacentral:rRNA from 1 species
AUUGAACGCUGGCGGCAGGCUUAACACAUGCAAGUCGAGCGAGCGGCGGAAGGGUGAGUAAUGUCUGGGAAACUGCCUGAUGGAGGGGGAUAACUACUGGAAACGGUAGCUAAUACCGCAUACACUCGGAUGUGCCCAGAUGGGAUUAGCUAGUAGGGGGGGUAAAGGCUCACCUAGGCGAAGAGCCCUAGCUGGUCUUAGAGGAUGACCAGCCACACUGGAACGUAGACACGGUCCAGACUCCUACGGGAGGCAUCAGUGGGGAAUAUUGCACAAUGGGCGAAAGCCUGAUGCAGCCAUGCCGCGUGUAUGAAGAAGGCCUUCGGGUUGUAAAGUACUUUCAGCGGGGAGGCGUUACCCGCAGAAGAAGCACCGGCUAACUCCGUGCCAGCAGCCGCGGUAAUUC